CCUACGGGGCGCUGCAGUGGGGAAUAUUGCACAAUGGGCGCAAGCCUGAUGCAGCCAUGCCGCGUGUGUGAAGAAGGCCUUCGGGUUGUAAAGCACUUUCAGCGGGGAGGAAGGCGUUAAGGUUAAUAACCUUGGCGAUUGACGUUACCCGCAGAAGAAGCACCGGCUAACUCCGUGCCAGCAGCCGCGGUAAUACGGAGGGUGCAAGCGUUAAUCGGAAUUACUGGGCGUAAAGCGCACGCAGGCGGUCUGUCAAGUCGGAUGUGAAAUCCCCGGGCUCAACCUGGGAACUGCAUUCGAAACUGGCAGGCUAGAGGCUUGUAGAGGGGGGUAGAAUUCCAGGUGUAGCGGUGAAAUGCGUAGAGAUCUGGAGGAAUACCGGUGGCGAAGGCGGCCCCCUGGACAAAGACUGACGCUCAGGUGCGAAAGCGUGGGGAGCAAACCGGAUUAGAUACCCUAGUAGUC
rnacentral:rRNA from 1 species